GACAUCAUUUGAGUUUGACAGACAAUUUCAAAACCUAUGGUCACUGGACGGGAGUGGAGUUUGGCCCUGCUCCCCCGUGUCCCACCAUCCAGGUCAGGAAAGUUCUUCAUUUAAAGGGUUUUAAUUUCUCUGUGGUAGAAUUGACUUACAUGUUUUUCCAUAAACAAACGUUCAAGAACCUUAACAAACAAUUUGUGUAUAUGUGAACCUCCUUUAAUAUAUAUCUAAUAUGUUAACAUCUGAGUAUACACAGCAGGUACAUUUUUCUUGGACUGGCUUUGGGUGACAGUAUUCAUGAAGGCUCUAGAAUUUACUUGUUCCUCCAAGAAUUCUUUGUAUUGGGAAUAAAUCUAUGUUGGUCUGGCUUACUUUUGGGGGCAUCGUUAAUGGUCACAUAUGUCUCAAUCUCAGUUGCACCAAUGAAGAUGUACGUUUUUGAAGCUGGAAGGUACAUGAGUCCUUCAGAGUAAUGCUAUGAGUUCAAUGGACAAUCUGCUUUUUGGUGAAUGAUUUGGAAAUCUUCAAUAUGUAUUGGUGAAUCCUGAAGCAGCAUGAGAUAGAUUUCGUCCUCUAGGUGUCUCCAAAUUUUACUUUGGUCUUAGAUGCUCCAGUCAGCUACUUUUGAAUAUACAAAUAGAAAAUAGACAGAAAAAAGUUAUUAAUCUAUCAUCAACUAUGCAGAAGACAGAUGAGACAACUGCAGGUAGAAAUGGGGUUGAUAUGAUUAGGGACUAAAUUUUUAAAAACAAAUGAGUUUGAAUCAAAGAUUCCAAAUCAUUAUGUCAUUUUCCCCAUCACCUCCAUUCUUAUUUUUCUUCCCAUGAUAAAGAGCAAAGCUUAGAAAUAACAAAUAAGUUAAAGAGAAAAAAAACAUUUUCAAGUGAGCUUUUUGAUCAUAUUUGCUGUUGUUGUCAAGCCUUGUUUCCAAUAGUUGCUUUUUCGAGCUUUUAGGGAAAUAAUUAAUUGAAAUCCAUCAUUUUUCUCUUGGACCUAUCUAAAAUUGUGUGUGUGUGUGUAUGUGUGUCUGUGUAUGUGUGAAAAAUGUUCCUAGGAUCAGCUCUAUUUGCAUUGGUAUUUCCAGUGGAAAUGUCAAGUGUGACCUUUUUCUUGUUUGGGUGUCUAAUCCUAUUUUAAAGCCCUGUCACGCCCCUGCUGAGGGUCAGUGCCCUUGUGAAUAGAACUUCUGCACCUGCUCCCCCUUUCUUCUCCUCUUCUUCCCCUCUGCGUGGAACUGGAGGAUGUUCCGGAUGGCGAACAAAACAAUACUAUGCUUCAAUGACUGCAGUGACAGAAAAUAACUCCAGACUUGGGAAUUUGGUAGAGUAAGUUUUGAAACCAUGAGAAAAUAAACACAAAAAUCAGCAAAGCUGAAAAGAGGAAAAGAAAAAAACGUGCAGGAGCAUUGCAUUGCAUUGCUACAGAUAUCAGGGCUAACCUUCCCUUGAACUUUUCAAUUGAUAAAAUAGGGGCUCUGAUAAGGGAUCAGCUAUUGCAAAUACAGGAUGCUAAAAUCAGUGUCAUUGACAUUUCACCUGUAGGGAAAACAAUUAUUAACAUGAAAGAACUGUGGGAAAUAUAACCAAGGAAGCCCAAAUUACCAUAGCGACUGGAUUUGGUUUGCCUAUUUACCAAAGUAGAAUUUCAAACAAUUAUGCUCUGGGGAGCUGAAUUAAGCACUAAAUGAAUAUAGAUGAUUUGAAUAGUAAAAGGUUUGUACAUUCAGGCUUAUUAUCAUUUAAAGAUAAUGUUCUAUAAAAAUCAGUUCUUUUCACCAGUGCUUGAGUUGAAUUAUAAUUUCCUAUCACAGGAAGUAGUAGGGAAUAAACAAAGAAUUGCUUAUUGGAUCCUAACCAAAUUUAAAUAUGUAAUUUGCCAUUAUACCGCAUUUGUUUUAAAGUUAACCAGGAGGGAAAAAUUCACACUGAAACACUGGUAAAACUAUAAAGUUCAAUAUCAACAGUUUUCCUUGAUAACACAUUGACCACAAAAUCCCCAAGUGAACCAUAUUGAUGUUCUCACUAUUUUUUCCUAAAAUCCUGCUAACUUUCAUUUUUUUUUCUUAUGAAAUAAAGCCUUCGUGGUGUUCUCUAAUCUUGUAAUACAAAUGCAUUUUAUCUUUCAUUUUGUACUAUGCUCCCAAAUCCAGUUUGGGAGGCAGCUCUUCAGUAAAUGUAUCUCUACUCUUCUCUCAUCACCUUACGUCUUGACCCUGGGAUCGGUUACUAGCUGGUUUCCUCGCCUGCAGCCACCCAUCUCCACCCAAUCCAUCCUGCAAGCCACCACAAGAGUAAUCUUCCUAAAGGAUAACAUGACACUCUUCCUCAAAGACCUCCAAACCCAAGAGAUAAAUAUAAAAAUGUAACUGACUUCACAAGGAGCCACCAAGCUAGUGAAGAGGUGCUGGUUCCCAGGGCCUUGUGACACUGGUGAAUCUGCUGUGUUCUUAAACUGUAAACAGAAUCCAGGAAAGAAGAUAAUAAUAAGGAAUAGUUUUGAGCACUGAUUUGUUCCGGGUAGCGUUCUAAGUACUUCACGUACACUAGUUCCUUUAAUCCUCAUGAUGACCCUAGAGCCAGGACGUGGAAGCAACCUAAAUGUCCAUCUAUAGAGGAGUGGAUAAAGAAGAUGUGGUACAUAUAUAUAAUGGAAUAUUACUCAGCCUUAAGAAGGAACAAAACUGUGCCAUUUGCAGAGAUGUGGAUGGACCUAGAGACUGUCAUACAGAGUGAGCCCACCUGGAAUUUCUUCCCUUGAAAAGUUCUAAAGGAUCCUAGAACGAGAGGAUAACAUAGAUGACAGAAAGUGAAUGCAUGGGCACAAGACGUCAGUGGAGGAGAUUUGGUUGCCACAGGGAUGCACAGUGAGGAGCUCUGAACCGUACGCGUGGGAAACCAAGCACUGGGACACCGGUGCAGCCUGGGAUGAGAAGCGAGGAAGACACGAGCCAUCUGUGGGCAGUGUGGCAGCUCCCAAGGGGGAGAGGCCAGUGUGAACCCCAGAAAAGUCAGGGUCUCAGAGCCUCAUGGCUCUGUGUUUAUAAUACCCUGAGGUUAUUGAACACAUUGCCCAGAGAAGCCUGUUCCAUAAAUCCACAAAGGGAAGGGCCGCUCUGUUCUCAAUUGGGGGUAAUCUUUUUAAAAAAUUUGUAUUAUUUUUUCAAUACUGUUGCUACUGCUGCACCCUUGGCAUUAUCUGUGAGCAAUCUUGUGGACCUGGCAGACGUCGGGACCAACUUGCAUUGGGAAAUGCCACAGGUGGAAAAUUUGAGUAAAAAUUUUCAGGAAAAUACAAUAAAAUAUUCCUGAGAGUUAAAAUUAACCGUGGGGACAUCCCUGGCGGUCCAGUGGUUAAGACUCUGCACUGGCACUGCAGAGGACACGGAGUUCAAUCCCUGGUCAGGGAACUAAGAUCUCACAUGCCUGCAUGGCGCCUCCCCCAUCCCCCCCAAAAAAAUCGCUUGAAUAUGUGUGGCUCAUAUUCUUAAGUUUAAAGUUAAGUUUCAAAGGGUGUCCCUUAUAACAUUCAUAUAAAAAAUUACCUCUUUUUUUUUUUUUUGCGGUACGUGGGCCUCUCACUGCUGUGGCCUCUCCCGUUGCAGAGCACAGGCUCCGGACGCGCAGGCUCAGCGGCCGUGGCUCAAGGGCCCAGCCGCUCCGCGGCAUGUGGGAUCCUCCCGGACUGGGGCACGAACCCGUGUCCCCUGCAUCGGCAGGCGGACUCUCAACCACUGCGCCACCAGGGAAGCCCCCCCAAAUUACCAUUAUUUUUGAAAGCUUCUAUUUCAAAUGAUAUUGGAAUUUUAAUAUUACUUCUAAGAACUGUGAUAUAUCAGAGCUACUACUGGCUCUUACAUGUCUCAGCUUUUCCUAUAAAUGGGAAUAAAAAGAUACCUGCUAAGAGGUAUGGAUUCAUUUUAAGUUAUUGGUGAUGCCCAACUAAACUAUCAUCAUGAAUUAAAAUGCAUUAUUAUUCAGAAAUAUUGAGAGCUUAAUAAGCAGAACGAGCUUGGUAUCUUAAAGACCGAAAAUCAAUUGUCUUAUGUGAAAAUAAAGUGUUUUCUCUAUGUGACUGGUUUCUUUUUGUGCAAUAGGAAAGUUAAUCUGGAAUCACUAAGAUGGAAUGUUCCAGAAAUAGACACUGUUCAUGUAUGUAGGGGCAGGGUAAACUCACACUCCCUAAUUGAGUGGACAAGUCAGGGUUUGGCCAGGAAAACAGAAACGCCUCUUUGUGUCCUAGAUAUAAAGAGGUUAAUUGAGAAUUAGGAACUUACACAACUUUUGCAAGAGCUGGGGGUGGGGAUGGUGAGGUGGGGUGCACCAGUGCGGAGCUUGUAAAGCUGCCCUCGAAGGUCAGAGGAGUUGACACUGAAGCCCACUGGAGCAGUUUUCAAAAGCUUGUCUGCAAGCUGCCGUACUUCCUGGGAAUUUCUGAGACACUCUCACUGUGUCAGUCUGUUGGGCCAAGUGGGUGGUUCUCAAAGGCUAGCCUGUGCAUUUGUGUGCAAAUGCCUCCAGAGAGUCAGAGAGCUGGCUUCACCUUGCACAUCUAUUCCAAGCCCUCUCCAAAACUGCAGGAAGAUUCCGGGGCAGUUCCUAGGCUUAGAAGCGGUUGGUGGUGGUGCCUACUUCUCUAAACUCUUGCAGAAAAAAAAUUUGAUAUAAUCACAGAACAAAAAUAGACCCUGGCAUGAGUUCAUUCCUUCCUUCCUUCGUUCAUUCAACAAAAUGCGCUUUGAAUAGGCAGGCUAUGUGUUGUAUGCUUGGAAUACUUAUUGUAUAGAGACAGACUUAAUCCCUGCUUAUUCUAGUUGGGAAGACCAUUAACAUGCAAGUAACCCCCGCCAAAAAAUAAUAAUAGGUUUUGAUGGUGUGAAGGACAUAGGUGCUGUGGGAGGUGGCAUUUUAGAUUGAGUGGUGCACUUUCACAUGAUGCCUUGUAUUAGGCUUAUCUGGAUAUAUUUCUUACUUCCUCUGUGAGGUUUUAAGCCCUUGGAGAACAGGAAAACUAACCUACUUAUAAUUUUACUUUUUACAGGUCUUGCAUAGGAGAGUAGGCACAAGUAAUAUUAGUUAGACAAAGGUGGGACACAGUUCAGAAUUGCAUACAGCGUCAGGAGGUUCCGGGCAAAUCAGAUGGGUGAAAUGUUUUAGUUUUGUGUGUGAUUCACAUACUUAUGAAGACAAGGGUUCAUGGUAGGGAUUGGUCACAUAUUCCUCUGAUUCUUUUGUCAAUUACCUGGGAUCUAAGCCUUAACACUCUGGUUCUCAGAGUUCUGGUAAAACAAUCUUCCUUUGAGGGGAUGAACUCCUCCAGUCUAACUGCCUGAAGGGGGCAGAGUCAAAGGUAACAGAAACUAUCAGAAGAUAAAACAU